AGGAAAGGUGGAGGUCCGAAGAAGAAGCCCGUUUCAAGGUCGGUCAAAGCGGGUCUGCAGUUUCCCGUUGGGAGAAUCGGGCGUUACUUGAAGAAGGGGAGAUAUUCCGAGCGGGUUGGAACGGGCGCUCCAGUUUACUUGGCUGCAGUGCUCGAGUACUUGGCUGCUGAAGUGUUGGAAUUGGCUGGGAAUGCAGCUCGAGAUAACAAGAAGAAUAGAAUAAUACCAAGGCACGUAUUGCUGGCUGUGAGAAACGAUGAGGAGCUGGGAAAGUUGCUUGCAGGUGUAACCAUUGC
rnacentral:misc_RNA from 1 species